rnacentral:lncRNA from 1 species
AUACCAGAGACUGGGUAGUUUAUAAAGGAAAGAGGUUCAUUUAGUUCAGAAUUCUGGAGGCUAGGAAGUCCUAGAUUUGGUGGCUGCCUCUGGUCGGCUUCUGGUGAGGGCCUAGCGCUGCUGGAUAGCCUGGCAGAAGCACAGACAUAUGAGUGCAAGCUAAAAGAGACAAGCACAAGGGGUCAAGCUUGCUAUGUAACAACCCACUUUAAUGAGAACUAGCCAAGUUCCCUGAGAACUAACCCAGUCUCUAAAGAAUAGCAUUAAUCCAUUCAUGGGGAAAGAGUCUCCAUGACCCAAACACCUCCCACUUAGUCCUAUGUCCCAGUACUACCACACUGAGGAAUUGAGGUUCCGAUACCUGAACUUCUGGGGGACACGCUCAAACCAUAGCACCACUCCACCCUCAAGUAGGCUCCAGUGUCUAUUGUUCCUUUCUUUGUUUUCAUGCAUACUCAUUGUUUAGCUCCCACAUAUAAGUGUGAACAUGUGGUAUGUGGUUUUCUGUUUCUGCAUUAGUUCAGUUAGGUUAAUGGGCCCCAGAUCCAUCCAUGUUGCUGCAGAAGACACGAUCUUGUUCUUUUUUAUGACUGCACAGUAUUCCAUGGUAUAUAUGUACCACAUUUUCUAUAUUUAGCUGAUGGUCAUUUAGAUUGAUUCCAUGUCUUUGCUACCAUGAAUACAUUCUGCAAAAAACAUAUACAUGCAUGUGUCUUUAUGGUGAAAUGAUUUGUAUUCCUUUGGGUAUAUACCCAAUAAUGGGAUUACUGGGUUGAAUGGUAGCUCUGUUUUAAGUUUUUGAGAAGUCAC